GGGGAAUAUUGGACAAUGGGCGCAAGCCUGAUCCAGCCAUGCCGCGUGUGUGAAGAAGGCCUUUUGGUUGUAAAGCACUUUAAGCGAGGAGGAGGCUACUGAGAUUAAUACUCUUGGAUAGUGGACGUUACUCGCAGAAUAAGCACCGGCUAACUCUGUGCCAGCAGCCGCGGUAAUACAGAGGGUGCGAGCGUUAAUCGGAUUUACUGGGCGUAAAGCGUGCGUAGGCGGCUUUUUAAGUCGGAUGUGAAAUCCCUGAGCUUAACUUAGGAAUUGCAUUCGAUACUGGGAAGCUAGAGUAUGGGAGAGGAUGGUAGAAUUCCAGGUGUAGCGGUGAAAUGCGUAGAGAUCUGGAGGAAUACCGAUGGCGAAGGCAGCCAUCUGGCCUAAUACUGACGCUGAGGUACGAAAGCAUGGGGAGCAAACAGGAUUAGAUACCCUGGUAGUCCAUGCCGUAAGCGAUGUCUACUAGCCGUUGGGGCCUUUGAGGCUUUAGUGGCGCAGCUAACGCGAUAAGUAGACCGCCUGGGGAGUACGGUCGCAAGACUA
rnacentral:rRNA from 1 species